UACGUAGGGCGCAAGCGUUAUCCGGAAUUAUUGGGCGUAAAGAGCUCGUAGGCGGUUUGUCGCGUCUGCUGUGAAAAUCCGGGGCUCAACCCCGGACUUGCAGUGGGUACGGGCAGACUAGAGUGUGGUAGGGGAGACUGGAAUUCCUGGUGUAGCGGUGAAAUGCGCAGAUAUCAGGAGGAACACCGAUGGCGAAGGCAGGUCUCUGGGCCACUACUGACGCUGAGAAGCGAAAGCAUGGGGAGCGAACAGG
rnacentral:rRNA from 1 species